GCAGAGGUUGCCGAGUCAGGUCAAAGGCGGCAGACUCAAGAUCUGCCUCCGUAGGGAUUCGCCGGUUCGAAUCCGGCCCUCUGCA
rfam:Thermoplasma acidophilum DSM 1728 complete genome